rnacentral:rRNA from 1 species
AGUGAACGCUGGCGGUAGGCCUAACACAUGCAAGUCGAACGGCAGCACAGUAAGAGCUUGCUCUUACGGGUGGCGAGUGGCGGACGGGUGAGGAAUACAUCGGAAUCUACUUUUUCGUGGGGGAUAACGUAGGGAAACUUACGCUAAUACAGCAUACGACCUACGGGUGAACGCAGGGGAUCUUCGGACCUUGCGCGAUUGAAUGAGCCGGGGUCGGAUUAGCUAGUUGGUGGGGUAAAGGCCCACCAAGGCGACGAUCCGUAGCUGGCCUGAGAGGAGGAGCGGCCACACUGGAACGGAGUAACGGUACAGACCCCUACGGCAGGCCGCAGUAGGGAAUGUUGGGCAAUGGGCGCAAGCUUGACUAAGCCACUCCGCGUGAGUAAUAAAGGCCUUCGGGUUGUAACGCUCUGUUGUUAGGAAAGAAAAAAUGUAUGCGCAUCUAUGCCUGUCCUGACGGUACCCAAUCAGAAAGCCACGGCUAACUUCGUG